UUAAUUAUACAUAUGUUCGGUUAUCUUCGGAUAUCCAUUCGGGUUUGGGUAUUACCCGUUCGGGUUCGGGUAUCCAAUCUCUCCUUAUUCAAUACCCGUUCGGGUAUUUUGCUACUUCGGUUCGGAUUUCGGUUCGGAUUUUUCGGAUCGGGUUCGGGUGCCACUUCGGAUAUCGGGUAAAGUGCCCACCCCUACCAAACAUAAUAUAGUAGACUCUAAACUGGACUUAUAUCAUGGUUAAAAAUGAGUAAAAAACAUAAUAUAUUAAUAGGCUUAAAUUUACCCGUGAGCUACUCUGCAUUAUCAGAGGUGCAGUGUUGUACUUUGUGUAGUAAUUAGAAAUCCAGUCGACAGAGAUUCAAGGUUUCAUAGAAUAGACUAUCACUUCAGAUUAAGCUAGAAUAAUACUAAAAAUAGUAAAGAAAGUAGUAAAUCAGUUUGUAAAGCAUAAGAUUAGAUCCAGGGAAUUCAAACAAGCAAGACAGAAUUGCAAGUAACAGAGUGCUAAGGGUUAAUGAAAAAUUGUUCUCGAACUCAUAUCACAAUUAUCAAUCAAUCAGCUUUUGCUGAGAGACUAAUCUAUGUCUAGAUCCUAGAAUUCCAAAUCUGUUUGUGAAAUCAUAACCAAGCAUUAAGAACAAUAUGAUAAGUUCACUAAAUUCCUAAACCAAAUCUCUUUGUGAAUAUUUAUUUAGUUCAAAGAUAGUUUCAGGUAAUCAAUGUCGAAUCUAAUUUCUUAUCUUAUGAUUAGAGUUCUAGUUAAUUACUCUAGAAUUCAGCAUUAAUAAUUGAUGAAGAAAUCAAUGGAUAACCAUCAGCAUUAACAAUUCAUCCGAAACCUUAGGAAUUCCUAAAUUCAAUAGGGUGAUUAUUCAGACAUGAUUAAAGAAAACAUAAUAAAAGUCCGAAUAAAUUGUAGGUAAAGAUAGAAAUACUGGACUUCCAAAUCAAUCUCUGAAUGAGUAUUGAUCUUUCUCUCCAAAUCUCUCUAAAAAACAAAUUAAGCGUAGCCAAAACGAUGCCAUAAGAAAACCUAAUAUAUGGCAAAUCACGUCUAGGAGCUUGUUUGCAAAUAAGGAAAACUUCUAGACACUUGUGAAAUUUCUUGAAACAUCAUCAAAGCGUGUUCUCCUCAUGAUCCAACCAUCCCCAAAGUCUCCAAAAUGCUCCACAGUGUAUAGACCUGCAAAGUUUCUGAAGUAGACUCGAAAUAUGUAAUAUUGACUUUAGAACCAGACUUAUAUCUUGGUCAAAACCCAUAUAAGCCAUGAUAUACCAACUCACGCAGGAACUCAUAUAUCAUUUAAAACACACAAUUCCAAUUCUCUGGUUCAUCUCCCUAUGAUCUCUAGAUCCUGUUUUGUAUCUUCUCUUUCGAAUGUGCCGGAGUUGUCUUUCGUUGGGAGCUCUAGGGAUUUGUUCUUGAUCUCUUCCCCGUCUUGUUGCGGGUCUUCCUCUAUCUUUUGUUUAGCAGGGAUCCUAUCUCAUCUUUGUUCAUGAAUGACUUAAUAAUGUCAACAGCUCAUUGACAUGUUGGCGAGGGUGAACUGAGAAGUUCAGUUUCAACCUUGCUUCAUUGUUCAUUUGUGGUUCUUGCUAAACUUGUUGUUGGUUCAUCCCUUAUGCUUAGCCUGUUAGCAUUGAAUCUCUGUUGUUUUGGUUGAUUUUGUUGUAUCAUCUUGUUGUGGGCCUUUGACUCCGGGAAACCCAUGUUCGCUAGCUUAAGUUUACAGGUUUUUUACCGCCGCUGUGGUAGUCAUGUUUCGGUUUAGAAUCAAAAUCCUUUUGAGGAGAAAAUUAUAGUAUCCAUCAAAUAUUUCCAGCUGGCUGAAGUCCAUACAAUCUCGAUAGUUGUAUGGACAUGGAGGUGAUGAUCACAGACUAUUGAAAAGAGGGAACAAUCAUAAUGAAGUUUGUAACUAUGGCAAUGAGACCUAAACCAUACUAUCAAUUUUUUUUUUUUUUGAUCGAAUACUAUCAAUUGUUUUCAAAGAUAAUUUCACAAUAAUUUUGAAAAACUGCUGUGAACUUUAAAAUUCAAAAUAAUACAGCAUAGUUUUCAACAAAUUUGAAUUUAGUGUUUAUGUUUACUUAUUAGGGUUAAUAUUAAUUGUUGACUUGGAGUUUUGAAUUUUGACUAUUCUAGUAAGUUUUAAAAUUAAAUUAUUUCUUAACUUUAUAUUAUAAUUUACAAUUUUAAUAAUUUCACUUGUUUGGGCAAUGAAAGUAUGCUACAUCAUUUUAUUUGUUAGAGUUUUGAAUUGACUGUAAUGACUUGAUCACGAUGAUUAGAAAGCUUCAAAUGUGGCAAAACAUCUCAACGAAGCUGAAGAAAUAGAGAUAUUAUACAAAAUACAGUUGUUGAUUCUUUUGUCAUGAUCUCUGGAACUUUUCAUAAAAAACUUUAUUUUAUUGGUUAUUAUAUUUCGAUUUGGUUUUAUAAAGUAUUUUUUUGUUUGAGCAAUCGAAUGAUCUUUCGAUGUAUAAAAAAAUAAUAUCUUAGCUAUACGUCGUUUUCCUAAUUAUUAAAACGUUGCUACCAUAUUGCAAAAGUCAAAUUUUCUAUAUCAUCCACACAAGAAAAUUGGAUCAGUAGCUGGACAAAAGUUGGACACGACCAUUCACUUAAUUCCAAAAAUUUACAUUGAACUGUCUCUGGAGCGCCAUUUAUCGAAUGUCGUCAUCUUAGCACUAAUUCUGGAAAAUCUUAGAUGUGGAUUCUAAAUUUUAACAUAUAAUUUUCAACGGUUACGUUUAGAAUUGAUGUUUUAUACAGAAAACUUUGUCGAAAAUGAUUUAAAACUAAAUAUUUAUAUUUGCUGAAAGAUAUAUUACAAAAGAAAAUAUUUCUGAGGAGGAGUUCAAUUGUUUUAUAAUAUUAGUUCUAUCUUCUGAGCUUCAUUUUCUGUUUUAUAAUACUCUAACUCAGCAAACUCAUCGUAGAAAUUUUAUGAAUCUAGGCUACUUUAGGCAAUUGUAGAAACAUCGUAGCCUACUGAUUAAAGUUUAAACGCUUUUACACCUAGAUCUGGGGUUCGAAUUCCAGGUUAUGGAAUUUUUUGCAGAUUGCACAUUUAGAAGGUCCAGGUUUCAGUUCCCGAAAAAACGAUUUAUUAAACAAUUAUGUAACCUACAGAAGAAAUGAUUACAAAGGAUCUUCAACAUAGUGCAAGUAAAUCUGGUCAGACAUAGAUCUUUGUAGGACUUUAACUCCAAAUGCCCCUCCCUCUCUUGAAAAAUUCUCAUUUCUCCCCUUAUUAAAAUAUUUUUUCUUUCUUAUUUUCUUUUAAAUGGAAAAUGGGUAGAUAAUGCUCUAAAGACGAAUUACCCCCUAAUGAAAUGGCUUAUUUACAAGGGUCCAACCUAAAGAUCCGACCCACCCAACUCUAACCGUAGAAUCCGACCAACCUAAAGCGAAACGACGGCGUUCCUUCUCCACCCCAAACUCUCCCUCUCAAUUCUCUCCCUCUCAAUUCUCUCCCUCUUGCGACGGAAAACCAAAACCCUUAGCAGAGUCGCAUCGUUCUUUGUCCCUUCUCCAUCUAAAUGGAGAAUUCAUUAAUCUCUCUCUCUCUCUCUCUCUCUUAUUUCUCGUGUCUCAAGUCUUUCUGUCUCUCAUUGUGAUUGAAACCCCUCCAAAACCCCUAAGUCGAGAAUCACAUCGUUUUUUUCUUCAUUCUCCGUCGAAUUCAAGGCUCCAUCCUUAGUUCUUUGUGCGACUUUUGCACUAUCUACCUGCGAGGCCACUAUUUGAGACUAGCAUCACUCUAUUUCUUGAUCUUCUACCUGAUAUCCCUUUAUGGAUGAAGAAUCCUGACUAUGAAAGAGUAAGUUAACUCAACAUAUUGAAUCAUUCUAGCUUCUUAAUUUACUUGAUGACACUGAUAUUCUUCUUUCUACAACACGUUGCAGUCGGAGAACAUAAUGUUCUCUUGUAGUGCUUUAUUUAGGUCUAGUUACAAAUCCAUUGAUUUAUAACAAUUCAUUUAUUUGAUUUUAAAAUACUCAUAUCAAUAAUUCUCACUAGAUUUGAAAAUCACUGGAUUUAUGGAAGAUUUCUAAAUAUAAGGAGAAUUUAUAAAUCCACUAAACUACCAGAACCAAUAACCCCCACUAACAUAUAAUAUUCUAUGAUAAAUUCUCAAAUAUUCUUGUGGUUAUAAGAGAAGAUUAUUUUUGAGAUAUCUUGUUAGUAAAAGUAUAUUUGUAUAAGGAAAGUUUCUCGAGAAUAGAUUACACCAAAACUUUUAUUGAAAAAUAACAUUAUAAAUAUUUAAAUAUUAAAAACAUAAUACUAUAAAAAAUAUAUAUAUUUCGUGAAUUGAUUUCAAAUGAUUAUGUAUGAUAUGGCACAAACUUCACUAUAAAUAUUUUAAUUUGAAAUAUUAAUUUUUAAAUAAUCUAGGGAAUAGGUAGCUUACAACAAAAUUUUAUUGACAAAUAAUAAUAUAGAUAUUUAAAUAUUAAAUGCAUAAUAUUACGAAGAUAUCUCUUAAGAUGAUUGUAACUGAUUUAUGAUAUAAAAAUAAUAUAGAGAAUAAAUUGCAACAGUUUUUUUAUUGACAAAACCCACUAUAGAUAUUUAAAAUAUUGAAUAUAUUAUUUUCAAUUAACAAAAUGAUCAUAUAAAUCAUGUUACAAAUAUCAUAUUUUAAAUUUAUACAUUGAUGAUAAU